rnacentral:rRNA from 1 species
GUGCCAGCAGCCGCGGUAAGACGAACCGUGCGAACGUUAUUCGGAAUCACUGGGCUUAAAGCGCGUGUAGGCGGGACGGCACGUCGGCCGCUGAAAUCCCCCGGCUCAACCGGGGAAGGGGCGCCGAUACGACCGUCCUGGAGGAACGUAGGGGGAGCUGGAACUUCCGGUGGAGCGGUGAAAUGCGUUGAGAUCGGAAGGAACGCCCGUGGCGAAAGCGAGCUCCUGGACGUUUUCUGACGCUGAGACGCGAAAGCCAGGGGAGCGAACGGGAUUAGAUACCCCCGUAGUCC